AGAAUUAAACCUGUAGUUCCUGGACCCUCAAGAUUUAUGGCUUACCUGGUGGAUCACAGCUCCAUGACCUUAACUGAACAGGCCUCUGUGUGAAUCAGACAUGCAAAUUUAGGCUUAUAAAAAUGAAGCAACAUUGUCUUGAAGGCAGUUCUUUUCUUUCUGCAGUGGUUUAUACAAUUCUGGACUAACAGAUAAUAUAGAACAUGAGACAGAUGAUGAAGAUGGGAAUGGGGCAGUGAAACCACAGCUGUCAUUCAGAUUUUCUAGGAGUGCUAUAGAAAGUGGGAUCAACCUAUAAUUGGAAAGACAUACGUUUAGGAGAUGAGAGUCAUUGUACCAUUACUGCUACCUUUAUUUUUCACUGUGGGUGUUUCUCAUUUCCAUGGUUAUCAAGUUCCACAAGACAAAUAUGAAAAUUAUGCAAAUGCAUAUCUGAACUGGAUAAAAUACUUAUAUCCCAACUCAAUUGGCUCAGUUGAAACACAGCCAUAUUAUUUUGUUCCAUUCUAUUAUUACCCAACGAAACCAGAUGCAGAAGUUCCAGUAGAUGAGGGAAGUGGUGGCGGCCCACCAACAGAUAUUCAACCAAGGAGAAGGAGAAGCAUCCUAUUAAGAAUGAUUAGGAAGUAAUAAUUCAUGAAGAUAAUAUUUACAUGAUAUGGAGAUAUGGUUGAAUCAGAGCAUGAAAAUGGCAUGGAAAUUAAGGGUUAAUUCAACUUGUGUAGGUCUUCAGCUCUUUGUUUUAUAUAACCACACCCCAUUUUAUCCCCAACACUGCAAACAGUAUUAAAAGAUAAUUCAGGAUCUCCAGAGAAAUGAUGCAAACCUGAGCUUGAGUUGGAAUUUAAUUAUUCAUUGUUCCUGUUAUAAUCUGCUUUGUGGAAAAUAAGACAUGCUGAUAUUGUGCUCGCUUCUCUUUCUCUUUUCUUUUUGCCAACUUCACUAAAUCAAAGAUAUUUAGGAUUCAUGAAUGGCUACUUUCUUCCUGCCUAUAAUAAAUGACUUAUGUAAUCACUGGGAGUACAUAAAUGUUUAAAUUAAAAUGAAUUUGAAAAACACGCUUUGAAAUUUCUAUUUUCUUUAGAAGCUGGGCCAGGUUUAACAUAUGGGGAUCAUGAGGAAAACUUUCACAUUGCCUAUGAGUCUUUACGUAUGUAUCAAUUUUAAUCAGAACAUAUAUGAGAGUAU